rnacentral:rRNA from 1 species
UUAAACGGCCGCGGUACCCUAACCGUGCAAAGGUAGCACAAUCACUUGUUCUUUAAAUUAGGACUAGUAUGAAUGGCCUCACGAGAGCUAUACUGUCUCCCCCCUUCAAUCAGUGAAACUGAUCUCCUCGUGAAGAAGCGAGGAUAAAUUCAUAAGACGAGAAGACCCCAUGGAGCUUAAAACUUACACCACCGCCUACAACUAUACCCACAAGCCAGGCAAUUAUGGUAACUAGUCUUUCGGUUGGGGCGACCACGGAGAAAAACCAAACCUCCACGAUGAAAGGAAUAUUCUAAUUUAAGAGCCACUGCUCUAAAAAUCAAUAAAUUGACAUAAAUUGACCCAAACAUUUUGAUCAACGAACCAAGUUACCCUGGGGAUAACAGCGCAAUCCAUUUCAAGAGACCCCAUCGACAAAUGGGCUUACGACCUCGAUGUUGGAUCAGGGUGUCCUAGUGGUGCAGCCGCUACUAACGGUUCGUUUGUUCAACGAUUAAAACCCU